GACAGCAAUUUUAUUUUAUACAAAUUAAUUAGUGGUUUAAAAAAAUUGGAAACUCAUUGGAGUAAAGUUAGUUAAAAGAAGAAGAUAUUGAAAAACGAAUUACUGUCUACUGUAACUUUUUCAUCGAAAGUAACAUUAUCAAACCGUCCACGUAAAUAAGAAACAAACGCCCUACAAAUGAUUUCCAAACCAAAAAUAGAUCAAACAAAUCAUUGGUGAACGUUAAGCAGACGUUAUUUAAUAAAGUAGGCUCAACUAAUAUGUACUCUGUUUUUUUAAAGAAAAUAAAUAUGAAUUAACUCAUCCGGAAAUGUAUCACAAACAGAUUAAAAAAAUAUGCCUUAUAAACGAGAGAUCAAUCAAUCGAUAAAUCAAUUUGAGAAUAAAAGAAAGAAUAUGGUGCAUCUUUGAAUUAAAGUUUUUGAAAGGUUCAUCCGCUUAUCCUUUUUGAUUCCCUCUUUUCCUUCUCAAAUCGAAGCCGUGCGUUAGAAGCACCUAGGCCUACAAAAAAAAAUUUGGAUGAAGGCUUUGGAGAAGUCAUGUACAACUUUUUGAACAUUUUCCGACUUCAGACCAGAACAUAAAUUUUCACAAGCGCUAAACAAAACGUCAAUAGCUCCCAGCCAUUAGAGGCAACACCCUCCACCUGUACGUACUCUUCGGUGGGCCAGCAUGAACUUCAUCCUUUGUGACAUUGCUCCAUGAAAACACCUAGGAAACCUCCAUCGCCUACUUUUUCGACAGAAAACCCUGUCUCUCCUCCAGACACUAUGCCUUCGCCUAAUACAUUGUAGUUGUCUUAAGAAUAUUUCCGUAUCUCGUUAAGUGAAUAUUUUAAUAGUAAAAUGUAUUUAAUACACAUUUGUUAUAAAAGGUGAUGUUAUGAAAGGAAUACGAUUGAAUAGCGAUGAAAUUCGAAAUAAACAAGUGUAUACAUUGUAAACUGUAAAUAAUAUCCAAUAAGUCAUUGAUGUAUUUUACA